rnacentral:rRNA from 1 species
GGUUUGGGAUGGGCUCGCGGCCUAUCAGCUUGUUGGUGAGGUAAUGGCUCACCAAGGCGUCGACGGGUAGCCGGCCUGAGAGGGUGACCGGCCACACUGGGACUGAGACACGGCCCAGACUCCUACGGGAGGCAGCAGUGGGGAAUAUUGCACAAUGGGCGGAAGCCUGAUGCAGCAACGCCGCGUGAGGGAUGACGGCCUUCGGGUUGUAAACCUCUUUUAGCAGGGAAGAAGCGAAAGUGACGGUACCUGCAGAAAAAGCGCCGGCUAACUACGUGCCAGCAGCCGCGGUAAUACGUAGGGCGCAAGCGUUAUCCGGAAUUAUUGGGCGUAAAGAGCUCGUAGGCGGUUUGUCGCGUCUGCUGUGAAAACCCGAGGCUCAACCUCGGGCCUGCAGUGGGUACGGGCAGACUAGAGUGCGGUAGGGGAGAUUGGAAUUCCUGGUGUAGCGGUGGAAUGCGCAGAUAUCAGGAGGAACACCGAUGGCGAAGGCAGAUCUCUGGGCCGUAACUGACGCUGAGGAGCGAAAGGGUGGGGAGCAAACAGGCUUAGAUACCCUGGUAGUCCACCCCGUAAACGUUGGGAACUAGUUGUGGGGUCCAUUCCACGGAUUCCGUGACGCAGCUAACGCAUUAAGUUCCCCGCCUGGGGAGUACGGCCGCAAGGCUAAAACUCAAAGGAAUUGACGGGGACCCGCACAAGCGGCGGAGCAUGCGGAUUAAUUCGAUGCAACGCGAAGAACCUUACCAAGGCUUGACAUACACGAGAACGCUGCAGAAAUGUAGAACUCUUUGGACACUCGUGAACAGGUGGUGCAUGGUUGUCGUCAGCUCGUGUCGUGAGAUGUUGGGUUAAGUCCCGCAACGAGCGCAACCCUCGUUCUAUGUUGCCAGCACGUAAUGGUGGGAACUCAUGGGAUACUGCCGGGGUCAACUCGGAGGAAGGUGGGGAUGACGUCAAAUCAUCAUGCCCCUUAUGUCUUGGGCUUCACGCAUGCUACAAUGGCCGGUACAAAGGGCUGCAAUACCGCGAGGUGGAGCGAAUCCCAAAAAGCCGGUCCCAGUUCGGAUUGAGGUCUGCAACUCGACCUCAUGAAGUCGGAGUCGCUAGUAAUCGCAGAUCAGCAACGCUGCGGUGAAUACGUUCCCGGGU